rnacentral:rRNA from 1 species
CGUAGGCGGUCAGCACAAGUCAGUUGUGAAAUCUCCGGGCUUAACUCGGAAAGGUCAACUGAUACUGUGCGACUAGAGUGCAGAAGGGGCAACUGGAAUUCUCGGUGUAGCGGUGAAAUGCGUAGAUAUCGAGAGGAACACCUGCGGCGAAGGCGGGUUGCUGGGCUGACACUGACGCUGAUGCGCGAAAGCGAGGGGGCGGAAC